UUGAAAGGGAAACGAUUGAAGUCAGUCGUACCGGCGGGUAAUCAGCCUUUUGGGUGUGAUUAUGUGGAGCGUGAGGAGUUUAACCCCCUUCUUCUUUGCAUUUUCGGGCCCUUUGGGGGUAUUUGCUCUGGGGAAAUGAAAAUCUCUUUUUUGGUCAUCAAAAAGGGUUUGGGAGAAUGGCUCUUCCCUUUUGUUUUGAAGUGUUAUCCCCUUCGGUAUAUGUGGUGAGCGAUAUAGAAGAUUGCCACAAACCCCUUUCGGGGCUACCUGUAAGAUCUCUGAAAGUUGCUGUGGUGCAAAAAUUUUGCUUAUGUUAUCAAAGUUGACGUUCAGGAUGUAAAAAGGGUAUAUAUUCUUUAGAGGUGU
rnacentral:rRNA from 1 species